rnacentral:rRNA from 1 species
UACGAAGGGGGCUAGCGUUGCUCGGAAUCACUGGGCGUAAAGCGCACGUAGGCGGCUUCUUAAGUCAGGGGUGAAAUCCUGGAGCUCAACUCCAGAACUGCCUUUGAUACUGAGGAGCUCGAGUCCGGGAGAGGUGAGUGGAACUCCGAGUGUAGAGGUGAAAUUCGUAGAUAUUCGGAAGAACACCAGUGGCGAAGGCGGCUCACUGGCCCGGUACUGACGCUGAGGUGCGAAAGCGUGGGGAGCAAACA